UCUCUCUGUGGUAAAUCGGUGAAAGUAAAUAUCAGACCUAUGCAGGCUACCGACAGUACGUAAAGUGUGCUGUGGUGUCCGAGGAACACAAUUUCUUGAGGUUUACCAAAGUAUUUGAUAUUUACAUAUUUGUCAGCUGUGCGUCAUAGGGCGCUUGUAUCUGUGUAUUACAAGCUGUUUGUCUGAAAUGAAUUCAUUGUUAAGGGAGUUUAAGGGAACUGAUGCAUUUAGUGCUUCGCAUUACACCCACAUAUUUCCAUUUUUAUUAUAAUUAUCAUCAAACGCAUUACCAGCAUUACCAAGGAGUUUGUUUUGAAUAGAAGCACUAUUAAUGCAUUACUGUUGGCAUUGCUCAUACUUUUCAUAAAACUCUGUGAGAAACCCGUCCUGCACUGUUUUUUGGCGCUGAUAUAAAUGAUAUAUUAAGCUCUGAUUUUAACAACAUCAUAUGGCUCCUUUACAUAUUACUUUGAAAAUGAAUGAAUUUAAAAAUAACAAAUUAUUUAUUUAAAUUAUUAACUGAAUACGGUUCAUAGGUAUUAUUUCUUCUUCAUUCUCAUGCUUACAAUGGCUGCAUUUAGUCGUAUUAUAACCAAAAUACAGUUGUGCUGCUAUAUAUUUUUUGAGGAAAUCCUGACCCUUUUUUUCAGCAUUUUUUAUAGCAUUAUAAAUGAAUUUAGAUUCAUUUAAUGCAUGCUUACUAAAAUAAAAGUUUUCAUUUUGUAUUUUUGAAUGGUAGUCUACAGAUCUUGAAAGUCACACUUUAAUUCUCCUCACAACAUUAAAAAUACAGUCAAGAAGAUGUUCUGCACAAAGGAGCCAAAAUGUGAACCAUCAAAGAAUAUGACAUGUUUUCAAAAACAGAUGUGUCAUUCUUGCACAACAGUCUUGCUCUGAUAAACAGCUCGUUUCCUCAAAAACUCAGUGACUCAUUGGUAUUUCUAAGUCUCGCAGACUGUUCACAGCUCAUGUACCAAAACCUCAUUCAUUUUGCUUUAAGUUGAGAGAGUUCGUCUAGAGCUACAGUUGCAUUUACACUUCGCUUACUCUGCAAGUCUGGUGGAUGACUUUAACUCUAGAGGGCAGUGUUAUCUCAUUUAUUGAGAUAACGUCAUAUCUUUAAUUAAUCUUGUUUCUAUAUCUUCUAGCAGAUUAAAUAUGUGCCAGGUGUACAUCAUGAAGAUACUUCAGACUUUCAGAGAGGGACAACAAGAUAUAUUUCGGAGACAUUCCUGCACCUGAGGUCCAAAAAACAUCCUGAACAUCUUGUGUGACCAGAACGACGGUCUGUAAAAUUGAAGACGGAUUGACAAGAAUCUGGAGGAAAUGUACUCCGGUACAGAGCAGAAAAUUAACGCCAAGCAGAGGAGCAGCCAACAAGAAGCAGGUCCAACAACAUGCCUCUCAGCACGAGCGGGAAGUCUAAUUUUCACAUCUGCUCAAUGUUUUUCUCUGCAGGUUUAUGGAUGGUGUAGUUUUUCACCAGAACAUCAUCUUUUACACACCACCUUAGGAGCUUAUGCUGAGUCUGCAUUGUAAGGAUUCUGAUAUUUCAUCCAAAGAAGAGCCUAUGCAAUCACACGGAAACCUGAUCCAGGACUUGCAUGUGCUGGGAUUAACCAAAAAAUAUUUCAUCUCGGCCUUCUUCCCAGGUAACGAUAUGACCACCUGACAGCUUUCCAGCCUCUCACCUCCCCAAACAGCAUUUCGGCAAACAUUCAGAUUUCUUGCUCUCAGGUUCAACACCUAUUGUAAACAGUGUUCUGAGUUGGU